GACCCAGAGCUCACACUGGAAGCCUGGACAUUCUGCAUUGAAACAUGAUUAGAACAAGACUUGUCAGUGCUCAACUAGAAGAGCUGCCAAAUACAUCAUCAUCUCUCAUUCGCUAUGACCCAGGUGCUGUCAGCCCAAACUGACUGUUUUCAGUAAAAUGAAAAAAUCAUGUUGGAUCCCUGACCUGGUGACUGAGCUUGCUGAGGGAAUGCCAUGUGAGUCCCUGGAGCUGGAGCCCAGUCACUGCCAGGGUGCGACAUCGCCCGCAGCAGCUGCUGCUGCCCUGAGCCAGAGCAGCCCUGCGAAGCAGAUGAGCUGCAGCCAGGGCUCAGGCAGCAGGAGAGGAGCCAAAAGGAGAAACCCAUACACGCCAAAAUUCAAGUACACAACUGCUGCCAUGGAAUAGGUUGGACUAAACUUGAAUUAAUAAAGAAACAUCUCUGGAUA